rnacentral:rRNA from 1 species
CCUACGGGAGGCAGCAGUGAGGAAUAUUGGUCAAUGGGCGGAAGCCUGAACCAGCCAAGUAGCGUGCAGGAUGACGGCCCUAUGGGUUGUAAACUGCUUUUAUACGGGAAUAAAGUGCCGUACGUGUACGGCUUUGCAUGUACCGUAUGAAUAAGGACCGGCUAAUUCCGUGCCAGCAGCCGCGGUAAUACGGAGGAUCCGGGCGUUAUCCGGAUUUAUUGGGUUUAAGGGGAGCGUAGGCGGCAUGUCAAGUCAGAUGUGAAAUGUCGGGGCUCAACCAUAGGAUUGCAGUUGAAACUGGCUGGCUUGAGUACAGGAGAGGUAGGCGGAAUGCGUGGUGUAGCGGUGAAAUGCUUAGAUAUGACGAAGAACUCCGAUUGCGAAGGCAGCUUGCUGCACUGGAACUGACGCUGAUGCUCGAAAGCGUGGGGAUCAAACAGGAUUAGAUACCCCUGUAGUC